rnacentral:rRNA from 1 species
GAUGAACGCUGGCGGCGUGCCUAAUACAUGCAAGUCGAGCGAACAGACGAGGAGCUUGCUCCUCUGACGUUAGCGGCGGACGGGUGAGUAACACGUGGAUAACCUACCUAUAAGACUGGGAUAACUUCGGGAAACCGGAGCUAAUACCGGAUAAUAUAUUGAACCGCAUGGUUCAAUAGUGAAAGACGGUUUUGCUGUCACUUAUAGAUGGAUCCGCGCCGCAUUAGCUAGUUGGUAAGGUAACGGCUUACCAAGGCAACGAUGCGUAGCCGACCUGAGAGGGUGAUCGGCCACACUGGAACUGAGACACGGUCCAGACUCCUACGGGAGGCAGCAGUAGGGAAUCUUCCGCAAUGGGCGAAAGCUUGACGGAGCAACGCCGCGAGAGUGAUGAAGGUCUUCGGAUCGUAAAACUCUGUUAUUAGGGAAGAACAAAUGUGUAAGUAACUAUGCACGUCUUGACGGUACCUAAUCAGAAAGCCACGGCUAACUACGUG